rnacentral:rRNA from 1 species
UACGGGGGGGGCAAGCGUUGUUCGGAAUUACUGGGCGUAAAGGGCUCGUAGGCGGCCAACUAAGUCAGACGUGAAAUCCCUCGGCUUAACCGGGGAACUGCGUCUGAUACUGGAUGGCUUGAGUUCGGGAGAGGGAUGCGGAAUUCCAGGUGUAGCGGUGAAAUGCGUAGAUAUCCGGAAGAACACCGAUGGCGAAGGCAACCACCUGGGCCUGUACUGACGCUGAGGUACGAAAGCGUGGGGAGCAAACAGG